CCUGCUUACAAGCCAGUUAGGGUUGUGAACUUUUGCCCAUUUAAACAUGUUCCCAUCCCACUGCACCUUUCAUUUUUUUAAAAGGCAGCCUUGACCUGUACUGAAAACUGGAGUUCUGAUUACAGAGUUGCCAUGGAAACCUCGCCUUUCUCACCUAAGCUAUUCAUUGGCUGCCUGACCUGGCACAAACCUUUUCUUGUUCUGUGUUCUCCUUAUGUGACAUGGCAGGGCUAUCAAUGAUCUGCACCACCGAGAGGUUCAGUAGCGAGCUGUGGCUCACGUAUUUCUGAUGUGUACAGAAUCACAGAAUUGUAAGUUGGAAGGGACCCAAAGGAUCAACCCCAUCAAAUACAGGAAUCCUACACAAAGCGCUCUCUCCGUGGGCUUGAACCACCAACCUUCUGGCUCACAGCCAGCCACACUGACCUGUUUGUGCCACCUGAGAUGCCUCACAUCCAGUUAGAACCUGAAAUACUCCUAGUGUCUCAUACAGUCGAAUGAACUUGGAGUCUGAUGAGCAAGGCUGCUGCUGUCUUACUACAAUAAAUCAUUUUAACACCUAAA